CUACGGGAGGCAGCAGUGGGGAAUAUUGGGCAAUGGGCGCAAGCCUGACCCAGCGACGCCGCGUGAGGGAAGAAGGCCCUUGGGUCGUAAACCUCUGUUGUAUGGGAAGAAGGACGUGACGGUACCAUACGAGGAAGUCCCGGCUAACUACGUGCCAGCAGCCGCGGUAAUACGUAGGGGACGAGCGUUGUCCGGAAUUACUGGGCGUAAAGGGCGCGCAGGCGGAUAUUUAAGUCAGCUGUUAAAGUCAUGGGCUCAACUCAUGGAUGCGGUUGAAACUGGAUAUCUCGAGUGCUGGAGAGAUAGGCGGAAUUCCCGGUGUAGCGGUGAAAUGCGUAGAUAUCGGGAAGAACACCAGUGGCGAAGGCGGCUUACUGGCCAGCAACUGACGCUGAGGCGCGAAAGCCAGGGGAGCGAACGGGAUUAGAAACCCUAGUAGUCC
rnacentral:rRNA from 1 species